CGGGGCUUCUCACUAACUCUCUGUUCUUUCCAGCCUUCUCUUCGAUGGCCACCACGACCACGAUCACCUCUCUUGCAUCACUGUUGCAAUUUUUUCAACCUUAGGGUUUCAAAUUUGGGGCUUGUGCAGCAACCUAUCAAAUUUGUUUCCCUCGUUACAAAAUUGGAGUUUAUCUUGACACGCAUGCAGCUCGUCAUGGAAAGUUUCUGUCACUGUGAUUUGAAUUUAGAUUCGAACAGCGUAUGAUGUGAGUUUGAGUGAUGAGAGCUGACCUCAAGAUCUCUUUGAUUUCGUCAGCGGCAAACUCUUAAACUCUUUCAAGUCAUGGGAAAGGCUUGAUGUAGGUGGCAUUAUAUCCCACUCUUUUGAAUUGGAGGCCAAGACGAAAGGAUUGUUUAGUGGUGCAACAACUGUUAUUACAUUUCGCUUUCCCUCAAAGGAUGCUCUGCAGGAGAGUGUUGAGGCUUUUAUCAACUGUGUUGUGAAAAAUAGAGGAUUCAGCUAGGGAAAGCACGUUGCCUGCUUGAUCAGAAUGUGGAAGGACCAGUCACAUAUACAAUUGUUAUACUUUCGAUGAGAAUACUCCACUUGUUGAUGAUCCAGAGUACAUCUCUGCAUUGGGUGAAACAAUAUUCAAGGGAAUGCAAAGCGGAGAUAAGGAUGGGGUCUGGCUAAUGCAGGAGAGAUCUUUUUGCAGUUCAGUGAUGGACCAAGAGAGAUGAUAUAUUGUUCUUAUUUCAGAUGAAAGAAGAGUGAAAGGAGUCUCUUGUAGGAGUUGUUUACAAUAAUUUGUAUUUAC